AGUGAACGCUGGCGGCGUGCCUAAUACAUGCAAGUCGAACGGAGUGGCGCACGGGUGAGUAAUAUAUAGCUAAUCUGCCCCUUGCUGGAGGACAACAGUUAGAAAUGACUGCUAAUACCCCAUAUAAAGGGAUGAGACUAUAUCGUAUCAUCUAGUCGGUGGGGUAACGGCGGACCGAGGCUAUGACGCGUAACUGGUCUGAGAGGAUGAUCAGUCAAAUUGGAACUGAGACACGGUCGGAACUCCUACGGUAAGGAGCGGUAGGGAAUAGUGCGCAAGGGGGGAGGCCCAGAAGGAGCAACGCCUGGUAGAGGAUGACACUUGUCGAGGCGUGAACUCCUUUUGUUAGGGAAGCGGUACCUAAAGAAUAAGCACCGGCUAACUCCGUGCCAGCCGCCGCGGUAAUUC
rnacentral:rRNA from 1 species